rnacentral:lncRNA from 1 species
AACUAUAUCGUUGAAGAAUCUAAGCAGGUAAGAAAGCGACGCAACCGCAACCAGAGGAGGCAGAUCAUCAAGGACGGAUGGGCAGACUAUGAAGGAGAAGUUGUAAGGUCAGAAGACGUAGAGUUUAAACAGAAUUAUCCAGAGGAGAUUGAAGCACCGAGUCAGGUAUGGAAAAUGAAGAUAACUAUACAAGAAGAGGAGGCGCUGCCAGAAGUACCGACUAUGCCACCCAACGAACCUCAGGACAAUUGAGAAAAUGGAGAGUCCCGUUCGGAGGACUUAAAAACACCGAACGCCUUGCCAAGAGGUAAACUUGGUAGUUAUCCUUUCCCUUUCAAUUAUUUCAAAUAGUUUAUUUAGGUAAUCAUGUUCAUGCUAUCCUAAAAAGAAAAUAAAAAUGUGAAAAACAGUAAGCCCCAUGUGAGUAUGCGAGUGGCAUGAAACCCAUAAGUACAUUCACUGUGGUGGCAUAAAAAUAAAAUAAAUAUUUCUUUUCCGCUUUAUAAAAUAAAAAUAUAAAAACAGGGAGUAAUAAUUAUUAAGGAGUCUCAACAUGAUAAAGGCUAGAUAUUUAUGCUAACACUUAACCAGUUCCACAAGCUUUGUUGUCUAUUUGAACUCCACAGAAUUUAAGAAUCAAGAAGACUGGCAGACGGAGGACAUUCUAAUCGCUGUCACAAUGUUGCUGACUUUCAAAUACACCUCUACCACCUGCUAGCUACAUCAAGAGAAAUUACGUCAAAAUUCAGCUUGGGGGAGAGCACCCCCAUUUAUCUCGAUAAGUAUUUCUAUCUCUCUUUAUACUUAUAUUAUUUUAGAAUAUAAAUAUACAUAACUAUGGAAAACCAAAUAAAGAGGUUGUGCUUAUUUAUAUAUGUCUUUUACUUAGUGUGUUUAAUAAAUAAAUAAAGUGGCUAUGCUAAUCUGUAUCUAAAUAAAACUCAAGCAUAGAUAUGAUGAAUAGUUGCUCUGCC